rnacentral:rRNA from 1 species
CCUACGGGUGGCAGCAGUAGGGAAUAUUGCUCAAUGGGGGAAACCCUGAAGCAGCAACGCCGCGUGGAGGAUGAAGGUUUUCGGAUUGUAAACCCCUUUUGUUAGAGAAGAUAAUGACGGUAUCUAACGAAUAAGCACCGGCUAACUCCGUGCCAGCAGCCGCGGUAAUACGUAGGGUGCAAGCGUUAUUCGGAAUCACUGGGCGUAAAGAGCGCGUAGGCGGGAUAGCAAGUCAGAUGUGAAAUCCUAGGGCUCAACCAUAGAACUGCAUUUGAAACUGUUAGUCUAGAGUGUUGGAGAGGUAGGUGGAAUUCUUGGUGUAGCGGUGAAAUGCGUAGAGAUUAAGAGGAAUACUAGUUGCGAAGGCGACCUGCUAGACCAUAACUGACGCUGAUGCGCGAAAGCGUGGGGAGCAAACAGGAUUAGAUACCCCGGUAGUC